GUGAAUCAUCAAAUUUUUGAACGCAAAUUGCACUCUCCUCGGAGAGUAUGCCUGUUUGAGGGUCAGCCUAUAAAAAUCGACAUCGGUGCUGUUUCGCGGUGGGGGUCGUCGGAAAUUGGGGCAUCUUAAAUCCUUUUGAUUUAAUCGGCUUAAAAUUUUCUUUUUUUUCGAUGAACGUUUGUAAGAUCUAUUUCUUUACACGUUUAAGGUAUCUAUUGUUACUAGUCAG
rnacentral:misc_RNA from 1 species